CGGCAGCACGGGUGCUUGCACCUGGUGGCGAGUGGCGGACGGGUGAGUAAUGCAUCGGAACAUGCCCACUUGUGGGGGAUAACGCACCGAAAGGUGUGCUAAUACCGCAUAAGCCCUGAGGGGGAAAGCAGGGGAUCUUCGGACCUUGCGCAGGUGGAGUGGCCGAUGUCGGAUUAGCUAGUUGGUGAGGUAACGGCUCACCAAGGCGACGAUCCGUAGCUGGUCUGAGAGGAUGAUCAGCCACACUGGAACUGAGAACGGUCCAGACUCCUACGGGAGGCAGCAGUGGGGAAUUUUGGACAAUGGGGGCAACCCUGAUCCAGCCAUGCCGCGUGAGUGAAGAAGGCCUUCGGGUUGUAAAGCUCUUUCGGCCGGGAAGAAAUCGUGCAGGCUAAUACCCUGUAUGGAUGACGGUACCGGAAUAAGAAGCACCGGCUAACUACGUGCCAGCAGCCGCGGUAAUACGUAGGGUGCGAGCGUUAAUCGGAAUUACUGGGCGUAAAGCGUGCGCAGGCGGUUUUGUAAGACAGGCGUGAAAUCCCCGGGCUCAACCUGGGCAUGGCGCU
rnacentral:rRNA from 1 species